rnacentral:rRNA from 1 species
UACAGAGGGGGCAAGCGUUAUUCGGAAUCACUGGGCGUAAAGCGCACGUAGGCGGAUUGCUAAGUCAGGGGUGAAAUCCUGGAGCUCAACUCCAGAACUGCCUUUGAUACUGGCGACCUUGAGUCCGGGAGAGGUGAGUGGAACUGCGAGUGUAGAGGUGAAAUUCGUAGAUAUUCGCAAGAACACCAGUGGCGAAGGCGGCUCACUGGCCCGGUACUGACGCUGAGGUGCGAAAGCGUGGGGAGCAAACAGG